rnacentral:rRNA from 1 species
GACGAACGCUUGCGGCGUGCUUAACACAUGCAAGUCGAACGCUGAAGCUUGGUGCUUGCCCUGGGUGGAUGAGUGGCGAACGGGUGAGUAAUACGUGAGUAACCUGCCCUUGACUCUGGGAUAAGCCUGGGAAACUGGGUCUAAUACUGGAUACGACAUGUCACCGCAUGGUGGUGUGUGGAAAGGGUUUUACUGGUUUUGGAUGGGCUCACGGCCUAUCAGCUUGUUGGUGGGGUAAUGGCUCACCAAGGCGACGACGGGUAGCCGGCCUGAGAGGAUGACCGGCCACACUGGGACUGAGACACGGCCCAGACUCCUACGGGAGGCAGCAGUGGGGAAUAUUGCACAAUGGGCGGAAGCCUGAUGCAGCGACGCCGCGUGAGGGAUGACGGCCUUCGGGUUGUAAACCUCUUUCAGCACGGAAGAAGCGAAAGUGACGGUACGUGCAGAAGAAGCGCCGGCUAACUACGUG